AGUGAACGCUGGCGGUAUGCCUAACACAUGCAAGUCGAACGGCAGCACCUUCAGAGCUUUCUCUUACGGGUGGCGAGUGGCGGCCGGGUGAGGAAUACAUCGUAAUCUACUUUUUCGCGGCGGGUAACGUAGGGAAACUUACGGUAAUACCUCAUACGACGUACGGCUGGAAGCAGCGGAUCUUGGGACCUUGCGCGAUUGAGUGAGCCGAUGUCGGCUUAGCUAGGUGGCGGGGUAAAGGCCCACCAAGGCGACGAUCCGUAGCCGGUCUGAGAGGAUGAUCAGCCACACUGGAACUGAGACACGGUCCAGACUCCUACGGGAGGCAGCAGUGGGGAAUAUUGGACAAUGGGCGAAAGCCUGAUCCAGCAAUACCGCGUGGGUGAAGAAGGCCUUCGGGUUGUAAAGCCCUUUUGUUGGGAAAGAAAAGCAGCAGGUUAAUACCCCGCUGUUCUGACGGUACCCAAAGAAUAAGCACCGGCUAACUUCGUG
rnacentral:rRNA from 1 species